GCACAGUGGCGGGUGCAGCCCAGGUUCACACUGAGAAAUGCAGGCUGCACAUGACCUGGCAGCAGCCAAUUCCUCGCCAGAUCCAUGAAGGGGCGUGUUCUCCCCGACAAAAAGGGUAGCCCCGCCUCUACCAGGAGGGAACCCCAGGGAACAGGAACCAAUGAGGCAAUGCUGGGUAGAUGAUGGGGAGGGGGGACACCUGCCCAGGAAAGUGGGUGAUGGUGGUGGUGGAGGUGCCCACAGGGAAGCUCUGUGUACAACAGGCCAAAUGCAGGAGAAAAGUGCUCUUGCCCCCUGCCUGCCCCACCUUGCCGCAGGGUGCCUGGGCCGGCUGACUCAAAACUGUCUGAAGUGCACCCAAGGGCCUUUGCUCACUGAGACAAUUCGUGUUGUGAAAUAAUGACGGGGUAGUCAGAGGGGGCUUCAAAACAUUCGUGGGAAGAAAAAAGAAAGAAUUAAAAGAGGGUGGCACUUCCCCUAUGAACUCUUUUUUGGUUUUCCCCUAUGUUUGGAAAUGAACUUGUCCGUCCCUAGACUCCAAGUCCACCUCCGUGUUUUUUUCAGCCCUCCAACCAAUAUUUAGAUCCAAGGGGUACGGAGCCUGGAGGGUUCUUAAGGCCGAGGGCCUUCACCCUCUUUUAAACUUCACUUCUUUUGUGUUUUUAAAAGCAACGCCUCCACAGAGGGACUCGGUGCUAAUGCCCCAUGAAACCCCCAUCCAUGCGAUGCUCUGGUUUCCCCGCUCACCCUUCUUCCCACCCUCUGUAAUUCCCAUUACCUUUGGAAGCCUGUCUUCCUCCCACCCAGGCCCCCACCCAUGUGCCCAGAUAGAAAAUCCAGAAACGACCUGUAGUGAAAGGGGACGGUCCUCCUAGCUCUGAGAGGUGGAGUCUGUCCGUAGAUUGCACUGCAUGACCCAGAAUAAAGAAUGCGGCAGGGUCCCUUCCAUUCAUGGGGAGAGGUUCUCCGGCAGGAGUCUGGUCUGUCACACAAGUCCUUGUGGUGGUUGUUGACAGAGGCUCUGGGGCCAGUUCUGAAGCAGAGCAACUCAGUGUAGAACCAGGCCCAAACACUGCCCGGUCCUGGGCCUUCCUCACACUCUCUGCCCCAUCUUUGAGCCCAGGGUUGUAGCCACCGUGUCCAUCCAUCUCCUGGAGCACCUUCCUCCCUCUCUGCCCCUCCACUUGACCAAGCCGGAUGUCCUUCUCCCGGGACUGGUGCCUCCUGACAAGGUGCCCAAAGCACACGAGCUCAAGCCUCACCCUCCUCGCUGCCAAGAACCCUUCUGGCAGACUUCUCUGUUCUGCUGCCAGUCCGUGGUUAGUGCAAUAUUCUCCAAUGACGAAAGGCCCCUGAUGCUGCCAUGCCGCCGCCUGCCUUCCUCGCCGCCGGCUUUCACAUGCAAAGACCGACCGUGGUUUCUGUCACGGGCCCCUUCGUUCCCCAACGUGGCCCCUGUGCUCUUUAACUCAACGGUUCGUUCUUAUGCCACCGAUGCUGCCACUCCAAGGUGUCCUUGGAUCGCCGGGCAACUGCAUCCAGGACGUGGACUGUAGAUCCAAGGAGAGUGAGGUCCCCCGAGACGUCACGGUGUCUCUGUCUGUCAUGAUGCCGCGUGGGGAAGACCUUGGUUUUCUUGAUCUCCGUGGGCCGUCACACGGAAGCAGUCCUGCCGGAUCUUCAUCAGGCCAGCAAGGGGGCGACACACCCCAGGUGGACGGAUGCGCUCAGUGUCACUGACUGAAUUGUAUGGGCAAAAGGGGGCUGAAGUGCACGUGGGAUGGAGAAUCAGCCACAGUUCAAAGGUACGUUAAAGUCUUGACUCGCUCCCUGGCCGGAGCAUUCGGGGACCAUCAAGGCAGGCUGGCCUCGGGCCUGCUUCCCAGCGGGGUGGUGUGAAAAGCCGUCUUGGAGAAGUACAGUUUGGAGGCUAGCUCUUUUCCCCACACCCAAGAGGGAUUCUGACCCCAGCCAUCCGGCCCUCACCCCACAGUGGGAGAGUUCCGGUGUGGCUGAUGGUGGUGGCUCACUCGAUGGACCUGUUUAAUGUCACCAAACUCUACUCCUGACAAAGACUGAAAGGGGUGGCGGGAGUGGGGGGGGGCAUUCCAUUACCAAUGUCUUUAUCAACAACAACAAAUUGUAAGGACCCCACUCAACCGAGAUGCUGCCCCUGGGAGAAGCUGAGAGCAAACCGUCCCUUCCCACACUCGUGGGUGCCACACUUGUAACCACAACUCAACGCUCCCCUCCCUUUCAUUAAAAAAAAUAAAAUUCAUUAUUUUCUUUCUUGUUUUAA